GUAUUAUUGUGCAAGGUAGUGCGAUUUUAAUCUGAACUUGAAAAUUUCCGGCGAGGACGAUUGUUUGAUGCUUAAGGAUAGUGCACUCCAUAAACGGACUGCUUCAACCGCAAAGGAAUGAUCAUAAAAUGACGUCCCGUGAGCCGGAAACUUCAGGAUUAAAUAGUGUGUCAUAAUAGUAUUAAAGGCAAACAUUAACAGACAUUGGUAGAUAGUGAUAAGCCGUCCUACAGUGACAGACGCACUGAGGAAGACGGCCGGCACGGCUCAUAAAUCACUCGAUAAUGAGAAUUAUUGGAAAACCCCGGGUCGAACCGUGCAACGCGAACUUCAGCGUACAUAAAAACUUUUUUCUCCUACCUAUGCCGAAAGUUCGAUUUUCCUCCCGCUGUACAGGGAAGAAAGUCUAUCUUUUCCUUCCGCUGUACAGAGAAGAAGGUCUAACUUUUCCUCCCUGGGUACAAGUGCGCAUGCGCGUUAGUGUCUACGUCUACUCUCACGCAUCUAAAAUUCUCCGCCAUUGUUGUGCUCGGGUAAUUUGCAAUAUUGUGUUUAGUGUAAAAGUGAAAUAAACAAAAGUUAAGCAAUUCUAUCGGACUGCAAGAGACGACCGUGCCGCAUCAGUGCAAUUGACAGAUCAUCCUUACAUUUUCGAGAUGAGCCGCGGCGUCCGUGUCGUGGUGUCUACGAGCUUCGGUGACCUCUGAACACGAAUUCUUCUGCAUCUUUCAUGGUGUCGGGCAGCUUGGUGCCCAGGGUCUCUGGCGUCGUGAAGAUCAACAUACCGGAUAUUAAAGCGAAACUGCCAAAUAGUACUGAUGGAAAACUUUCCCAUACUUCUAGAGCCUGAAAUAG